UACAGAGGUCCCAAGCGUUGUUCGGAUUCACUGGGCGUAAAGAGCUCGUAGGCGGCUUGUCACGUCGAUUGUGAAAGCCCGAGGCUUAACCUCGGGUCUGCAGUCGAUACGGGCUAGCUAGAGUGUGGUAGGGGAGAUCGGAAUUCCUGGUGUAGCGGUGAAAUGCGCAGAUAUCAGGAGGAACACCGGUGGCGAAGGCGGAUCUCUGGGCCAUUACUGACGCUGAGGAGCGAAAGCGUGGGGAGCGAACAGG
rnacentral:rRNA from 1 species